rnacentral:sRNA from 1 species
GGAGCAGAGGUGGCUGGCGGGCCCGGCUGACUGCGCCUCUGCUUUCUUUCCAUAACCUUUUCUUUCGGACUCGAAUCACGGCUGCUGCGAAGGGUCUAGUUCCGGACACUAGACUGGAUGGCUUUUCUGGGCCAUGCUAUUCUCAGACCUCCCACCUUCACCCCCAGGGCCCCAGAUCGUGUCACAUCCAUAUGACACUUGGAAUGUGACAGGGCAGGAUGUGAUCUUUGGCUGUGAGGUGUUUGCCUACCCCAUGGCCUCCAUCGAGUGGAGGAAGGAUGGCUUGGACAUCCAGCUGCCAGGGGAUGACCCCCACAUCUCCGUGCAGGUAGACUGGUGGGAGAGGCUUCCCUCAGGCAGCCCAGGGCCCUCCAGAAGGACCCUGCUGAUUCCUUGCCUGGCUCCAGUUUAGGGGUGGACCCCAGAGGUUUGAGGUGACUGGCUGGCUGCAGAUCCAGGCUGUGCGUCCCAGUGAUGAGGGCACUUACCGCUGCCUUGCCCGCAAUGCCCUGGGUCAAGUGGAGGCCCCUGCUAGCUUGACAGUGCUCACACCUGACCAGCUGAACUCUACAGGUAUCCCCCAGCUGCGAUCACUAAACCUGGUUCCUGAGGAGGAGGCUGAGAGUGAAGAGAGUGACGAUUACUACUAGGUCCAGAGCUCUGGCCCAUGGGGGUGGGUGAGCGGCUAUAGUGUUCAUCCCUGCUCUUGAAAAGACCUGGAACAGGGAGCAGGGUCCCUUCACGGACUGCUUUCAUGCUGUCAGUAGGGAUGAUCAUGGGAGGCCUAUUUGACUCCAAGGUAGCAGUGUGGUAGGGGAAAGACAAAAGCUGGA